ACCCCGCAGCUCCUUGAGGACGUUUGCUCUCACAACACAAGAAUCCUCUCCGAAUUUCAGGGUGAAGAAAACAUGAGUCACGUCUUACAUUUCCGUUGAUGACAGCAGUCAUUGGAACAUGCCCGAGGACCAUCAUUAAAUACUAAAAGGUGAGAGGAAGCCAUCUGGUCACCUCUGAGGGACUUCCAGAUCUUGAUGGCACUCCAUCUGCAUCCGUAACAAUUUACUCAUUACAUCAAGGGCAUGGAGAAAUUUGAAAGUGGACCUGUAUAGGAGAAACUCAGGUCUGAGUGGCGUGAUGCCAGGCAUACCAUGCUCAGACCGCCUUCUCUCAGCUGAGCACACCUAGACUGAGUUAAACAUGGUAAACAUAUUGCUACAGCAAGUAAUACAUUCACCUAGUAAUGCAUUCUUUUUUUUUUUCUUUUGAAAAGAGAUUCUCUACAAGAUGACAUCACUUGCUAUGCAAAACAGACAUGAAGAACAUGUUUGCUCCUUUCACACAUGGAGCGUCCUAUAUCAACAUCACACAGGGUUGUACAAGGAGUUUUCUUGGAUGUUGAAAUGGAAAAGCAUUCAUGGCUUCCCUGAAUUUUAUGACCACUGUAAACUCAAUUUCCAAAUAGCUGUUCUCUAGGUUAAGACAAUUACACAUCAAGUGUGGCUACUAGA